rnacentral:rRNA from 1 species
GCUUACGGCCAUACCAUCCUGAGCAAGCCCGAUCUCGUCUGAUCUCGAAAGCUAAGCAGGGUCCGGCCUGGUUAGUACUUGGAUGGGAGACUGCCUAGGAAUACCAGGUGCUGUAAGCU